AAUUGAGACAGGUGGUGCAUGGUUGUCGUCAGCUCGUGUCGUGAGAUGUUGGGUUAAGUCCCGCAACGAGCGCAACCCUUGUGUUUUAGUUGCAAACAGGUCAAGCUGUGCACUCUAGACAGACUGCCGUGGACAACACGGAGGAAGGUGGGGAUGACGUCAAAUCAUCAUGCCCCUUAUGAUCUGGGCUACACACGUGCUACAAUGGCCGGUACAACGGGCAGCGAAGGAGCGAUCCGGAGCGAAUCCUAAAAAGCCGGUCCCAGUUCGGAUUGCAGGCUGAAACUCGCCUACAUGAAGUUGGAGUUGCUAGUAAUCGCGAAUCAGAAUGUCGCGGUGAAUGCGUUCCCGGGUCUU
rnacentral:rRNA from 1 species